GCUUGACUGUAGUUUGGAAUAGGGUUCGGGCUUUUCUUGCGCAGCCUAGGUGGGAGGCAUUGAGGAUUUCUUUUCGGGGAAAUCGGAGCCAUCAUUGAGAGACCACUCUGGAAGAGCUAGAAUCCUAAUGGCGUUCCUUGAAUCAGGACGCUUGACAGUUUCAGAUGGGCAGUUUUCUUGGGGCGAGAUUCUAGACCAGACGGGAUGCUUGAAGAUUUUUCAAUCGGGAAUCAGAUCGAAUUGUAAUAAAUUCAAGUAGAAUUUGACUAUAUGCUGGAAUGUUUCUAUGUUGACUAUUGUGAGGAUAAAGCUCGCCAGUUUUAACCGUUACCGACCAACAAAUGUUAAACAGAAGAGGUUUUGAAAACCUCUGAAACUAAUCAGCAGGGAAACAACAAGAAUUGUUGUGACCUUCAAAGACUUUACGUCAAACUUUUAAAAUAAAAUUUUAAAAGAUGAUAAAGUCUAACCUAUUAAAAUUAAUAGGUUGCCUAAAAGGUAACGGAGAAGCGCAAUGGUCCCCUCAACCUGGACGGAAAUCAGGCUUUGAGUGCAAAGGCAUAAGGGGGCUUGACUGCAAGACCUACAAGUCGAGCAGG
rnacentral:rRNA from 1 species